CCUACGGGAGGCUGCAGUGGGGAAUAUUGGACAAUGGGGGAAACCCUGAUCCAGCAAUGCCGCGUGAGUGAAGAAGGCCUUCGGGUUGUAAAGCUCUUUUGUUAGGGAUGCGGUACCUAACGAAUAAGCACCGGCUAACUUCGUGCCAGCAGCCGCGGUAAUACGAAGGGUGCUACGUUGUUCGGAAUGACUGGGCGUAAAGGGCGCGUAGGCGGCCAAGCACGUCAGAUGUGAAAUCCCUGGGCUUAACCUAGGAAUUGCAUUUGAUACGGCUGGGCUAGAAUUCAGUAGAGGGUGGUGGAAUUGCGAGUGUAGAGGUGAAAUUCGUAGAUAUUCGCAGGAACACCAGUGGCGAAGGCGGCACCUGGCUUAUUGACGCUGAGGCGCGAAAGCGUGGGGAGCAAACAGGAUUAGAUACCCUUGUAGUC
rnacentral:rRNA from 1 species